rnacentral:rRNA from 1 species
CGAGCGGCGGAUGGGUGAGGAACGCGUGGGGAACCUGCCCCUGAGUCUGGGAUACCAUUUGGAAACAGGUGCUAAUACCGGAUAAUAAAGCGGAUCGCAUGAUCAGCUUUUGAAAGGCGGCGUAAGCUGUCGCUAAGGGAUGGCCCCGCGGUGCAUUAGCUAGUUGGUAAGGUAACGGCUUACCAAGGCGACGAUGCAUAGCCGAGUUGAGAGACUGAUCGGCCACAUUGGGACUGAGACACGGCCCAAACUCCUAUGGGAGGCAGCAGUAGGGAAUCUUCCACAAUGGACGCAAGUCUGAUGGAGCAACGCCGCGUGAGUGAAGAAGGUUUUCGGAUCGUAAAGCUCUGUUGUUGGUGAAGAAGGAUAGAGGUAGUAACUGGCCUUUAUUUGACGGUAAUCAACCAGAAAGUCACGGCUAACUACGUGCCAGCAGCCGCGGUAAUACGUAGGUGGCAAGCGUUGUCCGGAUUUAUUGGGCGUAAAGCGAGCGCAGGCGGAAAAAUAAGUCUAAUGUGAAAGCCCUCGGCUUAACCGAGGAACUGCAUCGGAAACUGUUUUUCUUGAGUGCAGAAGAGGAGAGUGGAACUCCAUGUGUAGCGGUGGAAUGCGUAGAUAUAUGGAAGAACACCAGUGGCGAAGGCGGCUCUCUGGUCUGCAACUGACGCUGAGGCUCGAAAGCAUGGGUAGCGAACAGGAUUAGAUACCCUGGUAGUCCAUGCCGUAAACGAUGAGUGCUAAG